rfam:Phytophthora infestans T30-4 supercont1.81 genomic scaffold, whole genome shotgun sequence.
GACAGCUUGGCUGAGCGGUUAAGGCGAUAGACUCCAAAUCUAUUGGGGUAACCCGCGUGAGUUCAAAGCUGUCG